rnacentral:lncRNA from 1 species
UUUUGACACUAAUCUUUGCAAUCAAAAGCCAGAACAUGCUCAGUGGGUUCUGAAAACCACAUGAUGAGCUCAGUUAUUGUGCUAAUAACUGUAAAUUCAACUCUUUUUUCCUUUUUCUGAAAGUUUAUGUGCAUCUAAUUGUUCAAGUGAUGUGUUGCAAUCUACACCAGAGCUUGUGCAGUUUACAGAGUUGACAGGGACACGUUAUUAGGGCACAAGCAGACCAAGCUCCAUAAGCUCAAAACACUAGCUAAUUUCAUGUAUUUUUAGCUUUAGCAGGAAGGGGGUCAGAACUCAGUGAGAGUACUCCAACAUGUCUAUAUUGUGAAGAUUAGCCAAUUUGAAUUUCAGUUUCAUUUCAAUUUCUCCUCACCGUCUUCACUUUCAAUCUCAUUUUC